CCCUCUAGACAUGGAAGCAGAAUGUU
rnacentral:piRNA from 1 species